AUGAAAACAAAUUUACAAGGACCAAAACACAACCUAGAAUCUAUUCCACUUGAAUUUAAGAAUUGUAAUAGUUUUUCCUUGAAACUAGAAGAUACUGAAAAUUGGUUGCACGAGGAUGGUGAAGACCAGCCAAAGCAAGUUUAUGUGGAUAAAUUAGCUGAGUUGAAAAAUCUGGGUCAACCUAUUAAGGCAUGCUUCCAGGAAUCUGAAGAAAGACCAAAAUUAUUUGAAGAACUAGGGAAACAAAUCCAACAGUACAUGAAAGUAACCACUUCUUUCAAAAACAAGGAGGACCAGUAUGAGCAUUUGGAUGCUGCUGAUAUGAUGAAAGUGGAAAAAAGCACAAAUGAGGCUAUGGAGUGGAUGAACAACAAGUUAAAUCUGCAGAACAAACAGAGUCUGAGCAUGGAUCCAGUUAUCAAGGCAAAAGAGAUUGACUCUAAAGUUAAGGAGUUGAUAAAUGUCUGUAGUCCUAUUAUUUCAAAGCCCAAACCCAAAGUGGAACCUCUGAAGGAGGAGCAAAAAAAAUGCAGAGCAGAAUGGACCAGUGGAUGGACAAGGAGACAGUCCAGGGCCGCAGGCUGCGGAGCAGGGGGCAGACACAGCUGUGCCUUCAGAUGCCAACAAGAAGCUUCCUGAAAUGGACAUUGAUUGAUUCGAACACUUGUUUAUAUUAAAACAGACUAUUA